GAAAUAGGUUAAUCAAGAGUAAGCUUCUAACUUAGCUCUUAAGCAGUGAAACUCUGUUUAUAUUUCU
rnacentral:tRNA from 1 species